rnacentral:tRNA from 1 species
CUCUAUAAAUUUAAUAAUUUUAUUUACAUUAAAAUGAAAUUUGUGAAAAUCAAGUUAUAGUGA